rnacentral:rRNA from 1 species
GAUGAACGCUGGCGGCGUGCCUAACACAUGCAAGUCGAGCGAUCUUCUUCGGAAGAGAGCGGCGGACGGGUGAGUAACGCGUGGGUAACCUGCCCUGUACACACGGAUAACAUACCGAAAGGUAUGCUAAUACGGGAUGAUAUAUGAAAGUCGCAUGGCUUUUAUAUCAAAGCUCCGGCGGUACAGGAUGGACCCGCGUCUGAUUAGCUAGUUGGUAAGGUAACGGCUUACCAAGGCGACGAUCAGUAGCCGACCUGAGAGGGUGAUCGGCCACACUGGAACUGAGACACGGUCCAGACUCCUACGGGAGGCAGCAGUGGGGAAUAUUGCACAAUGGGCGAAAGCCUGAUGCAGCAACGCCGCGUGAGCGAUGAAGGCCUUCGGGUCGUAAAGCUCUGUCCUCAAGGAAGAUAAUGACGGUACUUGAGGAGGAAGCCCCGGCUAACUACGUGCCAGCAGCCGCGGUAAUACGUAGGGGGCUAGCGUUAUCCGGAAUUACUGGGCGUAAAGGGUGCGUAGGCGGUCUUUCAAGCCAGAAGUGAAAGGCUACGGCUCAACCGUAGUAAGCUUUUGGAACUGUAGGACUUGAGUGCAGGAGAGGAGAGUAGAAUUCCUAGUGUAGCGGUGAAAUGCGUAGAUAUUAGAGGAAUACCAGUAGCGAAGCGGCUCUCUGGACUGUAACUGACGCUGAGCACGAAAGCGUGGGGAGCAAACAGG